rnacentral:lncRNA from 1 species
UAUGCAUCAAACAAUAAUUCUCAAAGAUUGUAUAAAACAAAUAUAAAUUGUAGAUUUAAACACAAAUUUCAACAAUGGCAAAUGAUUUACCAUAAAGUCUGCUUUCUGUUGUAUUGUCUUUCUAAUCUUAUUGAUUAAGUUGUUAAAUUAUGUGGAAUGCAUUUCUUAUGUAUCUACUUUUAUGAUUCUAUGUUAGUUAUGUCUCUUGAAGAAAAUAUCAGUGUUUGUAUUUUCAAAAAUGUUUUGCCUUUGGCAAAUGAGUGUUGUCUUACAUGUUGCAUAUGAUAUUGGAUGUAAUGGAAAACAUUGUUAAACAAAUAUUUUCAUUAUGACUCCUGUUCUAUUUAAUUUUCUAUAGUUGAUUUCUGUUGUUAUUUCCAAGAUGAUACAUUUUAUCUUUUCAAAAAAAAAAUGAUCAGAACAUGCACUCAUUUAAAGCCUUCACUAUCCACCUUGACAUUAUAUGAAAUGGGAUAGUAAUAUUUUGCUGUAACUAAUUUUUAAUAACUGGUAUGUAUUUUAAGGGGUUUUAUUUACAAGUUAGCAUGCAAUGCUCAGUGAAAUUUUACAAACCAGGCACCCACCACUGCAUGCAAUUCCUGCAUAGAAAAAUAAU